rnacentral:rRNA from 1 species
AGGUAAGCUACUAAGAGCGAAUGGUGGAUGCCUUGACUGGUAAAGGCGAUGAAGGACGUACUAGACUGCGAUAAGCUACGGGGAGCUGUCAAGAAGCUUUGAUCCGUAGAUUUCCGAAUGGGGCAACCCAAUGUAUAGAGAUAUACAUUACCUAUAUAGGAGCGAACGAGGGGAAUUGAAACAUCUUAGUACCCUCAGGAAAAGAAAUCAAUAGAGAUUGCGUCAGUAGCGGCGAGCGAAAGCGCAAGAGGGCAAACCCAGUGCUUGCACUGGGGGUUGUAGGACUGCAAUGUGCAAGAGGUGAGUUUAGCAGAACAUUCUGGAAAGUAUAGCCAUAGAGGGUGAUAGUCCCGUAUGCGAAAAACAAACCUUAGCUAGCAGUAUCCUGAGUAGGGCGGGACACGAGAAAUCCUGUCUGAAGCUGGGUCGACCACGAUCCAACCCUAAAUACUAAUACCAGAUCGAUAGUGCACAAGUACCGUGAGGGAAAGGUGAAAAGAACUGAGGUGAUCAGAGUGAAAUAGAACCUGAAACCAUUUGCUUACAAUCAUUCAGAGCCCUAUGUAGCAAUACAGGGUGAUGGACUGCCUUUUGCAUAAUGAGCCUGCGAGUUGUGGUGUCUGGCAAGGUUAAGCAAACGCGAAGCCGUAGCGAAAGCGAGUCUGAAUAGGGCGCUUAGUCAGAUGCUGCAGACCCGAAACGAAGUGAUCUAUCCAUGAGCAAGUUGAAGCUAGUGUAAGAACUAGUGGAGGACUGAACCCAUAGGCGUUGAAAAGCCCCGGGAUGACUUGUGGAUAGGGGUGAAAGGCCAAUCAAACUUCGUGAUAGCUGGUUCUCUCCGAAAUAUAUUUAGGUAUAGCGUUGUGUCGUAAUAUAAGGGGGUAGAGCACUGAAUGGGCUAGGGCAUACACCAAUGUACCAAACCCUAUCAAACUCCGAAUACCUUAUAUGUAAUCACAGCAGUCAGGCGGCGAGUGAUAAAAUCCGUCGUCAAGAGGGAAACAACCCAGACUACCAGCUAAGGUCCCUAAAUCUUACUUAAGUGGAAAACGAUGUGAAGUUACUUAAACAACCAGGAGGUUGGCUUAGAAGCAGCCAUCCUUUAAAGAAAGCGUAAUAGCUCACUGGUCUAGUGAUUUUGCGCGGAAAAUAUAACGGGGCUAAAGUAAGUACCGAAGCUGUAGACUUGCGCACAACUUAGAUUAUUUAAGUUUAGAAUAUGAGAAACUAAGUUAUAUGUUUAGUUAUAUUUUUACUGAUUUUUAUAGAGUAAAGAUAGAAAUAAAACUUAGUAAAAUCAGUAAAAAUAUUCUUAGACUAAAGUU